rnacentral:lncRNA from 1 species
GGACUCCAGAGAGCCUGGGAGACGAGCAGGAGUUGGAGCCCAAGUUGGAGAAAGAGAAGAAGCCUAUCCCAGCCACUUGUGUCCUUGACCCUCCUCAGGUGACAGCAGGAUUUUUAUACUUAGCAUAGUGUGUGUGUGUGUGUGUGUGUGUGUACAAGUUGCAAAUGAGAAGCACUGAGGCAUGUUUACAUUUCUUAAUGAAACAGGCAAUACCUAUUAGACAUAGUAUUUUUUAAGAUGUAGAGAGUAUUAUUUAUCCUUGCUUUCCUUUUUUCCCCUCUCCUGGUAUGUGUUUUCUCCCUUUCUAAUUCUCAAAGCCUCCAUUCAAAGAAAGUCAAUGUCAGUUUAUUCAGAGCUUUUCUGGUUUUUAUUUCACCCAUAUGGCAAUCACUUUGGAUCGUAUGGUGCGAUCUUGACUCCUGGGAAGACCUACGAGGCCAAAAUUGUCUUUGUGGGUAACAGCAGAAAAAUGGAAGGUUGCUAAUCUCAAUUUCUGCCUAACUUUGGUAUAAAUGUGUGUGAAAGUCAAGUGCGCUUCUUACUAUUAGCAUAUGUGUUGAUUAAAUUGGGUUCAUUAGAAAUUCUCGGCUUAACUCUUUGUGCUUUAUUCAUUUAAAUACAAAUAUUUAAGUUCACCGUCAAAGUGCAAACAAUAGUAAGAGGUAAACUGUAGGAAAUAAAGAAGUAUACGAGGUGGCCCAUCAAUUCAGAUACUACUGAGAAAAAAAUGUAAAGAAUCAUUAAGCAUAAUUUGAACAAUAAUUAUAAAGCGACACCUAUAUAUUGUCACCCAGGUCAAGAAAGAGAUCAUUGCUGACACCCCAGAAAUCCAUUCCUGCUCAUCUCUCCCUUCUGCCCUACCAUAGGUAAUCACCACCUUGAUUGCUGAGAUCAUCUUGUUCAUGCUUUUCUUUAUAAUUUUACCAUAGAUCUCAACGUUCUUUUUUUUUAAAGCAGUUUUUUUUUUUUAACAUUUAUUUAUUAUUGAGAGACAGAGAGACAGAGUGUGAGCAGGGGAGGGGCAGAGAGAAGGAGACAGAACCCGAAGCAGGCUCCAGGCUCCGAGCUGUCAGCACGGAGCCUGACGUGGGGCUCGAACUCACAAACUGUGAGAUCGUGACCUGAGCCGAAGUCGGACACUUAACCGACUGAGCCAGCCAGGCACCCCUCAACAUUCUUAAACGAUAGGAUUACAUUCCUUGUUUUGGGUUUUGUAUUAACGGAGUCGUAUUCUAAGUUUCUUUUGUAAAUUCUUCUUUGGCCCAAGGGUUAUAUUUGUGAGAUCCACAUAUCUUAUUGAGAAUUCAAAUGUGUGAAAAUACCCCAAUUCACCAUCUUUUCUGCUGUUGAUGAACACCUGAGUUUCUUCCAGCUUGGGGAUAUUACGAAAAUGUUGCUGUGAAUAUUCUUGGCUGUGUAUCCUGGUGCAUACGUGCUUGAGUUUCUAGAGUAGAAGUGAAAUGGCUGGAGAAUAGAGAAUUAGCACUAUCAGCCUUAAUAAAAAAAUGUCCAACCGUUUUCCCAAAGUGUUGAAGAUGUACACAAACUUGGCGUAGUCAGGGCAGUUAACUGCAGUCAUAACCCCUUCUUGUAUCACUCCUGUGUAGUAACCACAUUCUAACAACUACCAGCAGCCUGGCAGUUCUAGUUUGGCCUCUGCCUUGCUGUGUGUCAUGGCACAAACAACCUAACUUCUCUCUCAAAGUCAGUUUCUCAGCUGGAAUAGUGGGACACAUAAAAAUCGUGGUGAUGUUUGCCUGAGUGCUAAAGGUCACAGAGUUGUGAAGGUCACACCGACAGAGCUGUGGCCAGCUUUCAAUAAUGUAUUCUGAGUAUGUUGCUCUUGGGCCAGUCUCCAUGAAUCCUUUCUUUUCUUUUCUUUUAAUUUUAUUUUUUAAGUGUUCUAUUUUUAAAAUUAAUUAGUUAAUUAAAAUUAAUCCAAGUUAGUUAGCAUUUAGUGCAACAAUGAUUUCAGGGAUAGACUCCUUAGUGCCCCUUACCCAUUUAGCCCAUCUCCCCUCCCACAACCUCUCCAGCGACCCUCUGUUUGUUCUCCAUAUAUGAGUCUCUUAUAUUUUGUCCCCCUCCCUGGUUUUAUAUUAUUUUUGCUUCCCUUCCCUUGUGUUCACCUGUUCUGUGUCUUAAAGUCCUCGUAUGAGUGAAGUCAUGUGAUUUUUGUCUUUCUCUGACUAAUUUCACUUAGCAUAAUACCCUCCAGUUCCAUCCACGUAGUGGCAAAUGACCAUGAAUCCCUUCUUUUAAGAGGUUAAUCUAGUAAGCACAUUUGGUGGGACAGUGAUUUUGCCCUCACUGAAUCGGGUUGAUCAUUAUAAAUAGAGUCUCUGUCUCUCUCUUUUUUGCAUAUCUCUGUAUUUCUUCAACAUGUACCCAAAUUAGUACUCAUACCAGGAUUUAAUUUUAUUUAAAAAUUCAUAGAGGGGCACGUGGGUGGCUCAGUCGGUUAAGCGUCCGACUUCAGCUCAGGUCUUGAUCUCACUGCUAGGCUCGUGAGUUUGAGCCCUGCGUUGCCUGGAGCCUGCUCCGGAUUUUGUAUCCCCGCCUUUCUUUCUGCCCCUCCCCCACUAGCCCUCUGUCUCUGUCUCUCGCUGCCUCUCUUUAUCUCUCUCUCUCAAAAAACAAAACAAACAAAAAAAAACCCCGAAAAACCUUUUAAAAAAUUCAUAGAGAAGAGUGUGCCUAUGAUUCUCUUUCCUUUGCCUCCUGGCUUCCUGCCUGGACUUAUCACCUUCCCGUUCCUGUAUGGUCUUGUGUAUAUUCUAACACCUCUCUCUACUUCUGUUAUCCAUUCAUUUUCUUCAUUUUACUUUCUCCUUCAAGCAAAUCUGUGUAAAGAGUUUCAUUGACAAUUUACUGUAGUCUUCAUGUGGAGGGCCAAAAGAUGGAUAAGAAUUAAAAAUGAUACAAAAACCAGUGUUUAUCAGCUAUUUUUUUAAACCAAGAUUGAACAACCCACUGGCUGUCACCAGCUGAUUUGAACUUGUAUGUUAAUUAUACUAUUACAUACUAUGAAGAAUGAUUAUUUAGUUCAUUUGUAUAGUUAAUAAUUUGGUCCAUUAAUAAUACAAUAAACACAGUAAUUAGAAAUCGUAAUUCACUCUGGUUAGAUAGUUAAGAGUGCCAUUCAGGGUCAAAACUUACUAACAACCCUUCCUACUCCCCGAACUCCCACCCUUAACAAAAUAAACAAAACACUCCUUCCCCCUAAACGUCUUCCCUUUGGAGUAUCAAAAAUUUUAGUAUCUAGAUAUCUAGAAUUUUAUCUUUAGUCUUUAAUUUCAUUUGGUUUGCACAAAGUGCCAAUUAUGCCCCCUCGCGAAGGUAAUAAUCUGAUUGACUACAUUGCGUGAGUUCUCAAAGUUUGAUUUCCCGCAUGUACUAUCUUACAAGCUAUAAAGAUACCAUCCCUGCUCUUUGAAGUGUUUACAAUAUAGGCACAUCCUGCACUUGACUAAAAAUAGCUGGCACAAGCCCUUUUUGAAAUAGAAGUACCCAUGAGGUUAACACUUGCUCUUUUGACUGAGUGCCUGCUAUGCAAGGGACUUCUGGUUGACCCCAGUGGGCUCUAUGCCCAACGUAGGGCUUGCAAGAGGCCACGCAGCUGCUGCAAAUGCUUCAUAUGCUUUCACAGGGUUAGGCGAAGACCUGUGGUGGCCUGAAACUCGAGAGAUUAUGGCAUCCUACUUCUAUAUGCAAUUCAAUGCAAGAACAGAUACUAAACCAUACCACUUUGGGGGUUUUAUUUUGUUUCGGUGACCUGGCUUGUUGGUAUUCUAAGAAAAGCGCGCGCGCGCGCGCACACACACACACACACACACACACACACAUAUUGAAGAGAGAAAAUAGAAUAUUUUGUGUUUUAUCCAAAGCAUCUGUACGUUCAUCACAGGAAAAAACAAUCAGGACUUUGUUGGAGUUUUUGACAUUAGGUAGCAAAACCAGGUUCUCUUUAUUAGUCAGGGUUCUUCAGAGAAAUAGAAGCAAUAGGGUGUGUGUGUGUGUAUGUAUGUAUGUGUAGGACCUACGUCUAGAUGUUCAUAUUGAGAUGGAUAUAGAUAGAUAUAUAGAUAAAAUUGGCUUAUGUGAUUAUGGAGGCCAACAAGUCCAAAGUCUACAGGGGAGGUCAGCCGGCUGGAGAGCCAGGAAGAAAUGUGGCUCUAGUCCAAAGAUAGUCUGGAGGCUAGAAACUUAAGAUGAAGGUAUUGGCAGGGUUGAUCUCUUCUGAGGCCUCUCUCCUUGGCUGGUAGGCGGCUGCCUUCCCUGCCUUCACAUGGUCUUCAUUUGUACAUGUCUGCGUCCACAUGUCCUCUUCUCAGAAGAACACCAGUCAUAAUGGGUUAAGGCCCAUCUUGAUGGGCUCCUUUAAACUGAAGUACCUUUUGAAGGACCCUAUCUCCAAAUACAGUCCCACACUGAGGUACUGGGUGUCAGGAUUCCAACACAGGAAUUUUGUUGGGGACACAGUUCGGCCCCUAACACUCUCCUCUUCCACAGUGAGGAAAGCAUGCUCAUUAAUCUUCCAUGUUCUCUGUGUAACUUUCCAUUAGGUGAGGACAAGCAGGACGUCUGUGGUGCGCCCUCAGGAGUCUGCCUUCAGUUCUCACCGAGCCAGCUCAGAAUGGGGAUAUCCACUCGAGAGCUGUUCCUCAACUUCACUAUUGUCCUGAUUACCGUUAUUCUCAUGUGGCUCCUUGUGAGGUCCUAUCAGUACUGAGAAGCCAUGUCACGCUCCUGGGAUUGACUGCAUCUCUCCAGAGCUGCCUGCCAUAUGCCCUGAGCUCCCAUUGCUGUCAUGGGAUGCCUCUCUUGGCACCCCAAGGCACUUCUGACCCUCCCUCACGAUAUCCAAGGUGCCUCCAGUGUUAGGAUCAAUUGUGGGUACUCUAAAGAUGCUGUUCUCAAGGGCUGCUAAGUAUUUGCCAGUGAGCAUUAGAUUUACUCCUCAACUCUUCCUGCAGAUGUGUUAGACAAGCCACAAGGUUAAAACUAAAUGAUUCAUGAUGAUGUAGAAUUGUAACAAGCCCCUGAUCUGUCCUACCCACACAUCCCUUCAACCCACACUGUCUGCAACCAAACUCUAAAUCAACUCACCAGAAGAAAGAAAUGUUAGAGGAAGUCGUUGUCAACCCCUAUAGCUAUCAUGUGAAUAAAGUUAACUCAACCACAAAAUGACUUUGGGAAUUUAUUUUAGCUUCUGUUUGUGAUGCUGCAUUUGACCCUUGGCUGGGAUCGAAGUGACACGUGUUACAGUAUCUCUAGCAUAUGAGAUAAACCCAGAUGCUCGAACUGC